UACGUAGGGGGCUAGCGUUGUCCGGAAUCAUUGGGCGUAAAGAGCGUGUAGGCGGCCCGGUAAGUCCGCUGUGAAAGUCGGGGGCUCAACCCUCGAAUGCCGGUGGAUACUGUCGGGCUAGAGUGCGGAAGAGGCGAGUGGAAUUCCUGGUGUAGCGGUGAAAUGCGCAGAUAUCGGGAGGAACACCAGUGGCGAAGGCGACUUCCUGGCCUGUUCUUGACGCUGAGGCGCGAAAGCUAGGGUAGCAAACGGGG
rnacentral:rRNA from 1 species